AUGACUUUCCCAGAAUCACACAGCUAUACUUCCAUUUUUCACUGCUAUUGCAGAAGUGACCUGGAGCAUGGUCUCAGAGCACCAGAGGAGCUUGGGAAGAAUGUAAACCAAUGAGCAUACACAUGCCAAGUGGAGGUUUUAGAAAUUUUGCUGAGUGUCUCCUAUGUGUGGCAUAGGGGAUAAAGUCCUAGAAUUAGAAGCAGGAACAUCUGUGUUCAAAU
rnacentral:lncRNA from 1 species